rnacentral:tRNA from 1 species
GCGGCGGUUCCCGAGACUGGAUAAGGGUUGAGGCUGCUGACCUCAAGACAAACUAGCCGGUUGCGCGGGUUCGAGUCCCGCCCGCCGCG